rnacentral:rRNA from 1 species
GACGAACGCUGGCGGCGUGCCUAAUACAUGCAAGUAGAACGCUGAAGGAGGAGCUUGCUCUUCUGGAUGAGUUGCGAACGGGUGAGUAACGCGUAGGUAACCUGCCUGGUAGCGGGGGAUAACUAUUAGAAACGAUAGCUAAUACCGCAUAAGAGUAGAUGUUGCAUGACAUUUACUUAAAAGGUGCAAUUGCAUCACUACCAGAUGGACCUGCGUUGUAUUAGCUAGUUGGUGGGGUAACGGCUUACCAAGGCGACGAUACAUAGCCGACCUGAGAGGGGGAUCGGCCACACUGGGACUGAGACACGGCCCAGACGCCUACGGGAGGCAGCAGUAGGGCAUCUGCGGCAAUGGACGGAAGUCUGACCGAGCAACGCCGCGUGAGUGAAGAAGGUUGUCGGAUCGUAAAGCUCUGUUGUAAGAGAAGAACGAGUGUGAGAGUGGAAAGUUCACACUGUGACGGUAUCUUACCAGAAAGGGACGGCUAACUACGUG